ncrna:unclassified sequences DTF3800-XI RNA
UGGGCUGGUCGAAAGACCCAGGUCCACCAAAUGGCGGGUAAGACACCC